AGAGAACUCAAGAAGCUAGUCACCAAAACACCAAACAAUUCAAUUAAAAAUUAAGGUACUCUGUAACUGGCAACUACUCUUUCGUUUUUGGCUCUGGAAAUGAUAGCUACUUCAAGCUCCUACGGCUUAGACUGCCCUGCCAUGAAACUAUAAUCCCUUUCUUCUUUAAGUAUCUUUUAUCCAAGGUACUCUGAUAUAACAAUGGGAAAGAAAUAAAGGAAGAAAACGUUAGCCGUUGCAAAGUGAAUUUUUAAUGUGAAGGCAUAAAAUUUGGAACAUAAGUGAAAUCAAAACACACGGAGAAUUACACUGUGCUACAGCCUGUGUUUCUAGUACCUUUUUGGAGUCAUAUUUCUUACGUUAAGAGACUUAAUAUGGUCAUGGCUAAGUUUGUGACAUGAGUCAAAAUAAGAUUUGUGAGGGCAUGAAGGAAGAUAAGACUUCUUACAUAAUAGUUUCCCCUUAUGACUCCAAGGCCCAGCUGUAUAUUGGUUUCAAAGGAAAGAUAAAUAUCAGUGUUCAAAAUUCGCAGGCAAUUUCAGAAUGUGAGGUUAUUCAUUCUCAUCACAUUUUCUUUUUGAUUAUUGUGCACCAUGCUGAGUAGAAUCAGACUUAAUUUUGAUCCAUUACGGAUUCCUAAGUUUUUGAGCCAGGGAUAGUUGAGCAUAUAUGUUCCCAACAAGCUGCUACCUUUGCUGAUUCUUUCCAGACUAGCAACAUAAAUUAUACUAUGUAAAUGCUUGGACAUUUGCUUUUCUUUGAGAGGUUAAUGUGGAAUGUAAAUAAUAUUUACAAUGAGAGUUUCUUUUGUAAGUCUUAAAUCUUUACCUUUCUAGCUAGCUGAAGACUGAAUCUUAAAAUUUUCCUCCUCUUUUUUUCCCUGUUUUUAACAUCCUUAUUUAUUUAAAGUAAUAACUUCAUACAUAAAUGUUAGUGAUAAACACUUGAUACUGGCAUAUAAAAUAAUCUCUUGUUUGAAAAGCAUAUUAUUAAAAUAAUUCCUAAAAAAAUUGAACACUUAUUCACUCAGUUUAAGAUGUUGGUCUCAUUUUAAGAGCAUAGACAUAAAACUAAAACAAUAGGGGAAAUGGCAGUAACUCUUUACUAACCAACCAUGUCACUAAAUCAUAAAGAUCAAAUUAAGGGAGCUAUACCUGCACCAUUGUGAUUUUGGAUAGUAAAGAGACAAGUCUAGUGGGUAAGGGUAAUUUUAUUCUUUUUUUUUUUCUGCUUCCAAACAAAAAUCGGAUGUGAAGAAAAUACUCUUUGUUGGUGGCUCCCUCAAACCUUUGUGGAAAAGUAGCUUGUAGUAUUUUAUAUCUUAGCAUCUAAUAUUUCCUUUUCACUACCACAAAAUAUAGAUAAUAAGAUUAUAGAUGCCAUCCCCAGACUCAUUUAAAAUAAGGUGGACACUUAAAUGGUCUUUAUUUGUGAUCUCUCUCUUUCUACUUAUUCUUUCAGUCUGUGCCUUCCUUCCCCUUUCCCUUCUUUCUCCUUUCCUUCCUCUCUUAUAUUCUUUUAAGAUAGCACUAUGAAGAAUUUCCUGACCUUUCAGUCAUUUGCUUCUGUAAGUACUAAUUGAAUGCUCCAGUUCAACUUCAUUUAGUUUUUUCCACGUAUCAUACACGAUCUAUCAACUACCAGUGGCUCUCUGAACUGUGUUGGUCUUUGUCUACUUUGCUCAUGGUGCAUCGUUUGACUACCCUUUACAUCAUGUAGUCAACUCUCGUGUCAGUUGGUACCUAGUUGGAUUUGAUCAGUGCACCAGUGGCAUCUUCUCACUGAACAGAAAAGAAGAAGGAGGAGG